CUUGCCGGGAAGGUGCCUUAAAACUCACAGGCCUAAGGUUGGGUGGAGAAAAUUGUGUCUGGCUGUGUCUUAGACUGCAGAUCUGGGAAAGAAACCACUCAUUCAUGAAGAGUUUUUUUUUAAAUAACUUUAUUAUCAAACACACAAAUUUAAAACCAUUCAAAGAAGAACAAUGCAAGGGGAAAAAAAAACUACAAUAAUAUUCAAAUACAGUAGAACUCAACCAAAACAAAACUGAAAAGCACCUAAACAUUUUUCCAUAUAACUUAAAAGAGAAUCCCAAGCACCAACAAGACACCAGAGGAUGUGAUUUGCUUCAGAAAGAUCCCCCAAACCAGCACUGGACAAAUAAUGAUCUGGAAAAAAACUCCAGUUAGUUAGUGACUCCACAGAAGCCAAGCUUCUCCCAUAAACACAAUGUUUUCUUUGACGCAAUCAUUUUUUCUUUCAUUAUGUUUUAUUGUUUUCAUCUUUCCUUCAUUGGGUUUUGGAAGGUUUGGGGAUUUUUCCCUUUUUCCCUUAGUUAGUUUCUUCUCCUUUUCCGCUUUCAAUUUUUUCUCUUCCUUCUUCAUUUCUUGUACUUUGCUCUCUGUUCUGUCUUUCCUUUUCCUUGCUCACUCCUCUCUGUGGCUGUCCUUUAACAUCACUAAUUUCCUUUCACCCCUCAAUAAGACACCUAUCUCACCUUUUCCCUAUUUCUCAUAUCUCAUUAUCAAAUUUUGCUUUUCUCAUUCUCCCGUUCCCAACCCCCUCUACCUUUACUAGUAUAACUAAGUGUCAGGUAAAAGGGCCGAAGACCAAGACCAGACCAGGCCACAACAAGCCUUUAUUGCAGGGAUGAUCUGCCGGGCUGUCUCUGAACAAAGGAGAGACAAAAGCAAUAUGGCCGGGGCAGGGAGAGUCUUUUAUGGAGACUGGGGUGGGGCUUGUAGGGCCUGAGGCGGGGUUGAGUGAGGGAGUGACUAGGGAAUGGAGGAGCCGGUGAAGUCACUAGGUGGUAGGAGGUGAGCGAGUAUUAGGUUACUGUCUAGGUGGGACCAGGGGCAUGCUGGGAAGAAGGGUUUGUUCUUUGGUGGGAGCAACCAUCUUGGCAUGACGUCACACAGGGGAGGGGCAAGGCACCAUAGGAAGAGGGCAGCUACUAUACUU
rnacentral:lncRNA from 1 species